rnacentral:rRNA from 1 species
CGCCCGCCGCGCGCGGCGGGCCUACGGGAGGCAGCAGUGGGGAAUCUUCCGCAAUGGGCGAAAGCCUGACGGAGCAACGCCGCGUGAGUGAAGACGGCCUUCGGGUUGUAAAGCUCUGUUAUAUGGGACGAACGGGCGUAUGGUCAAUACCCAUACGCCGUGACGGUACCGUAAGAGAAAGCCACGGCUAACUACGUGCCAGCAGCCGCGGUAAUA